ensembl:lncRNA
GACCCGGUCUGUGGUGGAGACCUGGUCUGUGUUGGGACCCGGAUCGGUCCUCGAGACCGAUUCUGUCGUGAAGACCGGGUCUGUCGUUAAGACCGGGUCCGUUGUAGGGACUGGUUCUGUCGUGGAGACCGGGUCGAUCGUGGAGGCCGGUUUUGCCGACGGGACCGAGACGUCAGUCACCGCAUCGCGCACCACGUCGACGACAGGCGGUCUGUGCUCAGGAACACCCACCGGGACGGGGGGGCUUCUAGGGAACCCCCCGUCGUCGUCGUGGACGCACGGCGGUGGUCGAACCGCUCCUGGCGGCGGGCAGGAGGGGGAGACGGCGGCUGGGGGGGAGGGUCCUGCUCCACGACGCGAUCGGAGGGCUCGCCCGUGUUUAGCAUGGCGGAGAACACCUCGGUGGUGAAGCUCUGGGAGAAGACCGACUGGAACGUCUCGCCGGACAGCGGGGUGUCGCCUCCCGAGGGGCUGACGAGGUCGCUGGAUCCCUCGGGGAGAACUGGAACCGAGCCCUCGCCUUGGAUCAGGGGGGAGCUCGCCUGGACCGGGUUCAUCCGAGAGCGGUCGAGGAGGGCUUUAGAUAGCGCCGGCGUCCAUCUUGAGGCCGGCCGUUGGAGGCAGCUCUGCCGUUGCGUGCGCGGGGGCGGAGUCCCGUGACGAGUAGCCGCCAGCGGGACGGACGACGGGGAGGACGGGGUGGAUCUUGUGACUUUGGAUCAGGACCACCGGGGAGAGGACAGGGUGGUUCGACCGCGGGAAGGCGAGGGGGGAGCACACCGGCUCUUGUGUCUCGGCGGGGUCCCCGGGGAUCGCGGGGGGGCCGGCGACGGGGAUCUGGGAGAGCUGGGCCUGGUGCUUCCCGGGGUCGUGCCGCCGCUUGGAGGGGGCCGGGGGGGCCGGCGAGGACGGCGCCGUCAGCAGCAGCAGCUCGGGCAUGGUGGCGAGGGGCACCUCGCCCAGCCCCCCGUCCACGUCGAAGGCGUCGGGGCUGUCCAGCAGGGUCUCCAGGGAGCGCAGGCGGCCGUGGCGGUCGUGGAGGGUGGGGCCGUUUCGGAAGGCCGGGGGGUCGCGGAAGGUGGGGGGGUCCAUCCUGCUAAGGAAGUCCGCCGACGAGGAGCGCUGAGAGGCCAGGAGGCUGGGGGCCAGGAGGCUGGGGGCCACCGGGGGCGGCGGCGGGAUGUCGAAGGUGUCCGCCGUGUCCAGCUCCGGCUGAGACAUGGCGAACGAGGCCCCCUGCCGUGACGCCAGCUCCCAUUGGCUGACGUCCAGG